rnacentral:rRNA from 1 species
AUUGAACGCUGGCGGCAUGCUUUACACAUGCAAGUCGAACGGCAGCGCGGUCUUCGCCCUGUCCGCGAGUGGCGAACGGGUGAGUAAUGCAUCGGAACUUUCCCCUUCGUUUGGGAUUGCCCGUCGAAAGCCGGAUUAAUUCCCCAUACGACCUGAGUUUUAAAGCGGGGGUCCGAAAGGCCUCGCGCUAUUGGAUCGGCCGAUGUCGGAUUAGCUAGUUGGUGGGGUAAUGGCUUACCAAGGCGACGAUCCGUAGCUGGUCUGAGAGGACGACCAGCCACACUGGGAGUGAGACACGGCACAGACUCCGACGGGAGGCAGAAGUGGGGAAGUUUGGAAGAUGGGGGCAACACUGAACAAGCCAUGCAGCGUGCGGGAAGAAGGGCUGCGGGUUGUAAAACGCUUUUGUUGGGGAAGAAAUCCUCUGGGAGAAUACACGGGGGGGAUGACGGUACCGGAAGAAUAAGCACCGGCUAACUACGUG